GCAAUAGCUCAGUUGGUAAAGCCUGAAAUCCAUAAUCUCAGGUUGUGGGUUCAAGCCCCACAAUGGGUA